rnacentral:lncRNA from 1 species
UCCCUGCGGUUCUCGUACGCUGAUUUCACCGAUGCGAGUGAUGGUUGUUUCCAUAUCAUCAAGUUGUUCCAUCCCAGUCGCACGGUGUAAAAAAUUUUCUUCCUCCCUCGAAAUUGAAGGUCGAUGAUUAGUAUUUUCCAGGCUUAGCGGUGGAGAUAGCGGAUGGGUUAUUACUGGUUGAGCAUCAUUUUCGUUUUCUGAUUCUGUGGGCUGCAUGAGAGAUGGACCCGCCGGAACAGAUGUAGGCCAAGUUUGCUCAUUAGCACCGCUUCGACGAUGGAAGUCUUCUAAAGGCUGUUCCAUCGCCGAAGGGCACUCAAAGCCCAAGGGAAGGCUUAUCCCUAUCGGUAUUUGGCCUUUGGUCCGCUCGAGCAAAUCUUCUCCUCUUUUGAUAGCUUCCGCUAUUAUUGAUGUCGGGACAGAACGGACGGGUUCAAAAAAUGAACGGAGCGGGGCGAGUUCUCGGUAUAGGCUACGUCCCAAUUGUAGGGAUCAGUAAACGGAAUUGGGUUCCCAUCCAAAUCUGGGGCGUGUUCUGGGCUUUCCCAUCCGGUGGCCAUAUUCGUACUAUAUAUAAUUUCCUUUUGUUAACUGUAAAACAAAGA